CUCGUAGGCGGUUCAGUAAGUUGGGUGUGAAAGCUCCGGGCUCAACCCGGAGAGGCCACCCAAUACUGCUGUGACUAGAGUCCAGUAGAGGAGCGUGGAAUUCCUGGUGUAGCGGUGAAAUGCGCAGAUAUCAGGAGGAACACCAUUAGCGAAGGCGGCGCUCUGGGCUGGAACUGACGCUGAGGAGCGAAAGCGUGGGUAGCAAACG
rnacentral:rRNA from 1 species